rnacentral:rRNA from 1 species
CUAGUAUUAGAGGCACUGCCUGCCCAGUGACAUAUGUUCAACGGCCGCGGUAUUCUGACCGUGCAAAGGUAGCAUAAUCAUUUGUUCUCUAAUUAAGGACUUGAAUGAAAGGCCACACGAGGGUUAAACUGUCUCCUGCCCUUAAUCAGUGAAAUUGACCUUCCCGUGAAGAGGCGGGAAUACAGCAACAAGACGAGAAGACCCUAUGGAGCUUAAAUCUACUAACCCAAAUAACCCCGCAUAAUUAAUCAUCAACUAGACAUAUUCUCGCCAAUUAUGGAUUAGAGAUUUCGGUUGGGGUGACCUCGGAGUAUAAUAUAACCUCCGAAUAGUUUCAGCCUAGACUUCACCAGUCAAAUCAACUUCUACAAUCAAUUGACCCAAACUAGUUUGACCAAUGGAACAAGUUACCCUAGGGAUAACAGCGCAAUCCUAUUACAGAGUCCAUAUCGACAAUAGGGUUUACGACCUCGAUGUUGGAUCAGGACACCCCAAUGGUGUAACCGCUAUUAAAGGUCCGUUUGUUC